rnacentral:lncRNA from 1 species
UCAUCCCACAUGAGCGUGGGGACCACGCCUGCUGCCUCACCCCUCUCUCCGCAGGUGCCGGUGUUGGGGGGGUGCCAGGAGCCGUACCUGGUGUGGGCGGAGUGCCUGGAGUGACACCUGGUGUUGGUGGCGUGCCCGGCUUGGUGCCAGGGGUAGGAGUACCUGGAACUGGCAUCAUUCCUGGGGCAGGCAUCCCCCAAGUAGGGGUGCAACCUGGUGCUAAACCUCCCAAAUUUGGUGUUCCUGGGGUUGGAGUCCCAGGGGUUGGUGGCCUCCCAGGUGGCCUUGGAGUCGGUGGGCUCGGAGUUGGUGGCCUCGGAGCUGCUGGGAAACCUCCCAAGCCAGGCGUUGGAGUUCCAGGCUUCGGCGUAUCACCGGUAUUUCCAGGUGGGGUCGGCGGCCUGGGAUUCGGUGGUGAGUAUCCAUUCUCCCCGCGGGGUGUUUUGGGGUGGGGGGGAACCCCGCGGGGAUCUCGCUCACCCUGCUCUGCCUUCCCGCUGCAGGGAAGCCCCCCAAACCCUACGGAGGAGCUCUGGGUGCCCUGGGCUUUAGAGGUGAGUGCGGUCCCCGCUGCCAGGGGGCUGUGCUGCCCCCAGUCCCUCUCCCGUCCCUGCGGCGGCUCGCAGGGAGGGCUGACCCGCAUCCCCCGCGGCAGGCGGCGCGGGCUGCGCGGCAGGGAAGUACUGCGGGAGGAAGCGGAAGUAACGCUCCGUCACCGAUCACCUCAUGAACUUUGGUGCUACUGCAUGGUCCAGAAUGUAAAUCCGAGCGAAGCUGAGACACCCUCUCCUCAAGCCCCGGACCGCCCCCGUCCAUCCCGGGGCCGUGCCCGGCCCCGCGUUCCCCGGAGGGACCCCGCGUUCCCCGGCAGCGUCCGGCCCCCCCCGCCCCUCGGUCCCGGCAGGGAGCGCGGAAUAAACUGCGGGGAGCAGCCGUCCCCCUUGGUGCUAUCGCUCUCUGCGGGAUUUGGGGGGGUCUGGGCUGUCGCGCCCCUCCCCAGCCCCAGAGCUGACCCCGGGGGGGGGGGACACAGGAUGGGGGGCACCCCACAUUGGAGGAAGGGAGGGAGGGAGGGUGGGAAGGGGAUGCCGGCAGCGGGGGCUGUGCGGGGAGGGAUGGCCCCGUCAGCCUGGCCCCCACCCCAGUCCCCGCGCCCCCCCGGUUUGGGGGGGUCGCGGGCAGGAGGGGCUCAGUCCCUUCACGUUGCUCACUUUGCUAUAACUGGGUGGGACGCCCUAUACAGAGGGACUCGCUUCUGACAGACUAAUAAAGGACAAGUUUUUAAAGGAUUCUGUGUUCCA